AUACGAAGGGUGCAAGCGUUACUCGGAAUUACUGGGCGUAAAGCGUGCGUAGGUGGUUGUUUAAGUCUGUCGUGAAAGCCCUGGGCUCAACCUGGGAAUGGCGAUGGAAACUGGGCGACUAGAGUGUGGCAGAGGGUAGUGGAAUUCCUGGUGUAGCUGUGAAAUGCGUAGAGAUCAGGAGGAACAUCCGUGGCGAAGGCGACUGCCUGGGCCAACACUGACACUGAGGCACGAAAGCGUGGGGAGCAAACAGGAUUAGAUACCCUGGUAGUCCACGCCCUAAACGAUGCGAACUGGAUGUUGGGUGCAAUUUGGCACGCAGUAUCGAAGCUAACGCGUUAAGUUCGCCGCCUGGGGAGUACGGUCGCAAGACUGAAACUCAAAUGAAUUGGCGGGG
rnacentral:rRNA from 1 species